rnacentral:snRNA from 1 species
AAAACUUAAAAAAAAAAAAAAAAAAAAUCUGUUCUUAUCAGUUUCAUAUCUGAUACGUCCCCUAUCUGGGGACCAUAUAUUACAUUGAUUUUUGGAAUAGGGAGAUGGAAUAGGGGCUUGCUCCGUCCACUCCACGCAUCGACCUGGUAUUGCAGUACCUCCAGGAACGGUGCACCACCU